rnacentral:tRNA from 2 species
CGGGGUGUGGCGCAGCUUGGUAGCGCGCUACGUUCGGGACGUAGAGGCCGCAGGUUCAAAUCCUGUCACCCCGACCC